rnacentral:tRNA from 1 species
ACCUGACUGGCUCAGUCGGUUGGGCGUCUGACUUUGGCUCAGGUCAUGAUCUCACAGCUCGUGAGCUCGAGUCUCGCGUCGGGCU